UACGUAGGGUGCAAGCGUUGUCCGGAAUUAUUGGGCGUAAAGAGCUCGUAGGCGGUCUGUCGCGUCGGCUGUGAAAACUCGGGGCUCAACCCCGAGCCUGCAGUCGAUACGGGCAGACUAGAGUGCUGUAGGGGGAGACUGGAAUUCCUGGUGUAGCGGUGAAAUGCGCAGAUAUCAGGAGGAACACCGGUGGCGAAGGCGGGUCUCUGGGCAGUAACUGACGCUGAGGAGCGAAAGCGUGGGGAGCGAACAGG
rnacentral:rRNA from 1 species